rnacentral:rRNA from 1 species
CAUGAAGUCGGAAUCGCUAGUAAUCGCGAGUCAGCAUAUCGCGGUGAAUACGUUCCCGGGUCUUGUACACACCGCCCGUCACACCAUGGGAGUUGGCAACACCCGAAGUCGAUGAGCUAACCGUAAGGAGGCAGUCGCCUAAGGUGGGGUUGAUAACUGGGGUGAAGUCGUAACAAGGUAAC